rnacentral:rRNA from 1 species
GAUGAACGCUGGCGGCGUGCCUAAUACAUGCAAGUCGAGCGAACGGACGAGAAGCUUGCUUCUCUGAUGUUAGCGGCGGACGGGUGAGUAACACGUGGAUAACCUACCUAUAAGACUGGGAUAACUUCGGGAAACCGUAGCUAAUACCGGAUAAUAUUUUGAACCGCAUGGUUCAAAAGUGAAAGACGGUCUUGCUGUCACUUAUAGAUGGAUCCGCGCUGCAUUAGCUAGUUGGUAAGGUAACGGCUUACCAAGGCAACGAUGCAUAGCCGACCUGAGAGGGUGAUCGGCCACACUGGAACUUAGACACGGUCCAGACUCCUACGGGAGGCAGCAGUAGGGAAUCUUCCGCAAUGGGCGAAAGCCUGACGGAGCAACGCCGCGUGAGUGAUGAAGGUCUUCGGAUCGUAAAACUCUGUUAUUAGGGAAGAACAUAUGUGUAAGUAACUGUGCACAUCUUGACGGUACAUAAUCAGAAAGCCACGGCUAACUACGUG